GAUGAACGCUGGCGGCGUGCCUAAUACAUGCAAGUCGAGCGAACAGACGAGGCGCUUGCUCCUCUGACGUUAGCGGCGGACGGGUGAGUAACAUGUGGAUAACCUACCUAUAAGACUGGGAUAAUUUCGGGAAACCGGAUCUAAUACCGGAUAAUAUAUUGAACCGCAUGGUUCAAUAGUGAAAGACGGUUUUGCUGUCUCUUAUAGAUGGAUCCGCGCCGCAUUAGCUAGUUGGUAGGGUAACGGCUUACCAAGGCUACUAUGCGUAGCCGACCUGAGAGGAGGAUCGGCCACACUGGAACGUAGACACGGUCCAGACUCCUACGGGAGGCAGCAGUAGGGAAUCUGCCGCAAUGGGCGAAAGCCUGACGGAGCAACGCCGCGUGAGUGAUGAAGGUCUUCGGAUCGUAAAACUCUGUUAUUAGUGAAGAACAAAUGUGUAAUUAACUAUGGACGUCUUGACGGUACCUAAUCAAGAAGCCACGGCUAACUACGUG
rnacentral:rRNA from 1 species